rnacentral:lncRNA from 1 species
CAUCCUGGUGAAAGUAAGAACGGCUAGAGUUAUGUUAUGUAUCUUUAAAUCCUUCUUAAAUUUCCCCCAGCUCCCUUAGUGUAUCAGACAUCAUUGCCUUGGUUUUAAGGUGAAUAUACACUGAAAUUUUUUAAUAAAGAGAGAAGGCUGUGCCAUAGUCCUCAUUGGUGUAACUUGGCUUGUGGGGCUUGGAAUGUACUUUCUUCUAUGUUCCUUAGUCUUUUUUGCUCUAUUUUCCUUCUCUUUCUCACUGCCUACUCCUGGCCACUUCUUUGCUCAUUAGAUCUCUCAUUACAAGGCAGAUAGGGAAAUCAAAAGGUAAUGAAACUUAAAUCUGCUAAUUUGGCAACUUGUUAGCAGCUCGUAUAAAAUGUUCAGUGGGAAAGACACUAUCAUUAUUAGCUAAAAGGAAGCAUAGGGAUAAUCUAUGGAAUGUAUUUAUCUGUUACUAAUUCAUUAAUAAUUGAUCAUUAAAUUAAGCCAACUUAAUUUAUUGCACAACUAAAUUACAUCAUGUGUACUUUCUCUCUGCCCAUGGUUAAAUUUUUUUCCUGGAAUAGAAAUCAAGUUUUAUGUAGUUAAUAAGCCAUAGAUUUCAUAAAACAAGGUUCAUGACCUGGCAAAGCCAACCUCUCUUAUCCCCUGGCAUGUAUAACAAGUGCUAAUAAUGGGGAUGCUGAAUCAUCUC